rnacentral:rRNA from 1 species
AAACAGGAUUAGAUACCCUGGUAGUCCACGCUGUAAACGAUGGAUGCUAGGUGUUGGGCUACUAAGUUCAGUGCCGCAGCAAACGCGAUAAGCAUCCCGCCUGGGGAGUACGUUUGCAAGAAUGAAACUCAAAGGAAUUGACGGGGGCCCGCACAAGCGGUGGAGCACGUGGUUUAAUUCGAUACUAACCGAAGAACCUUACCUGGGUUUGACAUCCACAGAACACGAUAGAGAUAUUGUGGUGCCUGAUGUCGACGCGGCCG